CUGGAGUGGAUUUCCGUUAAGGAGAUCUUUUGGCACCUCUAAAACCGUUUGCAGAAUAAGGGGUGGGCAAGUCUGGUGUCAGCCGCCGCGGUAAUACCAGCACCCCGAGUGGUCGGGACGUUUAUUGGGCCUAAAGCAUCCGUAGCCGGUUCUACAAGUCUUCCGUUAAAUCCACCUGCUUAACAGAUGGGCUGCGGAAGAUACUAUAGAGCUAGGAGGCGGGAGAGGCAAGCGGUACUCGAUGGGUAGGGGUAAAAUCCGUUGAUCCAUUGAAGACCACCAGUGGCGAAGGCGGCUUGCCAGAACGCGCUCGACGGUGAGGGAUGAAAGCUGGGGGAGGAAACCGGAUUAGAUACCCGGGUAGUCCCAGCUGUAAACGAUGCAGACUCGGUGAUGAGUUGGCUUAUUGCUAACUCAGUGCCGCAGGGAAGCCGUUAAGUUUGCCGCCUGGGGAGUACGGUCGCAAGACUGAAACUUAAAGGAAUUGGCGGGGGAG
rnacentral:rRNA from 1 species